rnacentral:rRNA from 1 species
UUAUCACCUAGAUAGGCGGGAGGUGCAAUAGCUGCAAAGUUUUUAGCUUACCCGUACUAAUCCCCAAGAUAAAUAUCCUU